rnacentral:rRNA from 1 species
GACGAACGCUGGCGGCGUGCCUAAUACAUGCAAGUCGAACGCUGAAGAGAGGAGCUUGCUCUUCUUGGCUGAGUUGCGAACGGGUGAGUAACGCGUAGGUAACCUGCCUUGUAGCGGGGGAUAACUAUUGGAAACGAUAGCUAAUACCGCAUAACAAUGGAUGACACAUGUCAUUUAUUUGAAAGGGGCAAUUGCUCCACUACAAGAUGGACCUGCGUUGUAUUAGCUAGUAGGUGAGGUAAUGGCUCACCUAGGCGACGAUACAUAGCCGACCUGAGAGGGUGAUCGGCCACACUGGGACUGAGACACGGCCCAGACUCCUACGGGAGGCAGCAGUAGGGAAUCUUCGGCAAUGGGGGCAACCCUGACCGAGCAACGCCGCGUGAGGGAAGAAGGUUUUCGGAUCGUAAAGCUCUGUUGUAAGUCAAGAACGGGUGUGAGAGUGGAAAGUUCACACUGUGACGGUAGCUUACCAGAAAGGGACGGCUAACUACGUG